UUUGAGUACCACAGCUAAGAAGAAUUAAACCCGCAAUGGGGUUUUCACAAAAUGGUAAUUGUGCAUGGGCCGAGUCAUCUAAAUCGGGCCGGAGGGAGUACUACAUUGUGUUGAGACAAUAAUGGAAAAUCUGUAGCCAAGACCAGAUUUCCAACUAGCAAGCAGCAUGCUAUUGCUAGCCCUCAUCAUCUUAACAUGAAGCAACCAACUGGCUUGGAAGGAAAAAAUAGAGGCGUCUUCCACAUUUCUGAUGACCAACCGUGCAUAAAUUAUGCAGACAAUGCAUACAAUUUUCAUUGUAAAUGUUGGAGCAGGUUUCAGACUGAUCUGGACCGCUCUAAAGCGACUACUUGGCCUCCAACCGUGAUCUCAAAUUCAUGUAUGAACUCUGCAAGCUUUCGAAAUUUACCCCAUUGCGAUGUUUCUAUUACUUCAUAUUAAAUCUACAGUAAAAGGUCUUAGGAACAAAA